rnacentral:lncRNA from 1 species
UCUGGUAUGGCAUUCUGUCUACUGGUACUAGUCCCCACCUGAUUUGCUUGUGCAUUAUUUCUAGCUUGGAAUUCUCGUGGAGCAUUUGGCCUUGGUGGAAAACCCCUAGCUGGAGUGUUCCUAGGACAAUCCUUCUUUUGAUUAUCCAUUUGAUCACAUCGAAAACAUCCUUUAAAUCCCUGUCUAUAUUCUCCUGAAUGG